rnacentral:lncRNA from 1 species
UCAUUUGAGCUGGAUGCUAAUGUUUCUCAGUGGGAAGGAGCUCAGUUGACAGAGCUCGUCAUUGCCUGCAAGCUGUCUCUACACUGUACCCAGUUGUCAUUUUCGUGUUCAAUGCUACUUGUCGGUCUUCAGUUAGCUAAUAGCUCGGUUGUGGCAUGGAUGCCGAAACAUUCCACCUACCCCUAAGGGUUGUUUAUCUUGGAUGCGCGGUGAGCGACUUGCCACGUGUUCGUUUAUGAUUGGUUUGUGAAAAAAAUUUGGCUUGCUAAACGAUGUGCCUUUAGGGCAUGUUUGGAAGGCUUUUUCCAUCUCUUGGAUUUCUAUAAAUAGCCUUCUCCUUUAUAAGACACGGUUCAUUCCAAAAUCCUGAGAGUUUCUGGAAAGAGGAAGUGUGACUGACUGAUAACCGUUCCGUUCGCCGUUUUCAACAUUGAUUCCAUUUCUGACACCAUUUCUGACAUCUUUUCUAUCUUUCGACCUCUGUUUUUGUUGCCUAAUCAUUUAUGUAAGUCUUUGAUCUGGUUUUUCUGCAAAAAAAAAUCUAUAAUGUAUGCACUUUCAUACUGGCCCUUUAUGGUUCUAUUUUGACCCAUCUGGGUUUGCAUUUGAUGCUUUGGGGGUUUUAAUUUUGUAAUGUCUUGUCACCACAUUUUGUUGGAGUCUGUCUGUUUUUGAUUUCUGGUUUGGCCUAUCUGCCAUUUAUGAGUUUUCAAGUUUUUUGUGAUUUGAUUUGCCCGACUUGUUUCCCCUGAUGAAAUUGGUCCAAGUUGCCACUGUAGUUUUUGAUGACUUGUUGAAAAACUUUGAAAAGAUCCACAUUAUAGGGUUAAGGUUUUGCCCCCUCAAGCCCUUCUUCUGCCGCGAUAGGGUCAAGUGGUAGGAGGGCUUGAAAAGUCCCUUAGUGAAAUGUAGAUGUACCUCGUGUGUAAAGUUCAUAGCUCGUAGGGAGCACGGCUAACUCUUUCCAAAUAUUGAACCUCGGGGGCCAGAGCUCGGGCUCGCGGAGAGCUCUGCUAACUCUGCGCCCAAUUGCCUGUCAUUACUUAGUUGAGCUCGUUCUUACUGUGUUGUUUAUGUUUUCAGAACAUUGAUUUGAACCGAGCUCAAUUAUUAGUGCAUGACGAUACUGCAAUGGAAAAGUUUAGGAGAUACCAUGAUAUUCCAAAUGAUGUUUUGAUAGAGAGGCCAGGGCCCAGGGAGGUAGCUAUCACCGUAGAGUGAAACAGAAACCUCAUCCCAGUCUGCAUUUGGUUGAUUCACCAAGUGGGCCUCAGAUUCUCCAUUAGUCCUUUACUGAUGGAAGCUAUGACUUGGUGCUGGCUCACCUUCAUGUAAAUGUCCAUCAACUUCGUUUGGACCGUGCUUGCUGUGAACGCGUUGAUGCAGAGGGAAGGGAUGCCAUUCAAUGCCUCGGAUCUGCUACACGUAUAUAGCAUAGUGCGCCUGAGAAGAGACUCCAAACACACAUGUACACCGGCAACCACUAUCUCCGACUCCGGAAACCCCAUUAGCCCCAAACGAGGCUAGUAACCGAGACCUAGACAAAGAUAUGUAUUUGAACGAAUUUAUUUGGGUCUCGGAAAAUUGGGAGUUCUGAGCUGGAGAUGAUGGCCUUUGGUCCCUUUUUCAGUAUAAUAGAUAUAUUCCAGUGCGGCCAAGUUUGUAGGUUAUUACUUGUUGACCUUCGUACCUCAAGUUAUGUAGUUGACAGAAAUUGUACAAAGUUAAUAAUGUUGAUCUGACACUUUUCAUCUCGGUUGACUUGUUUCAGGAUUCAGUAGCAGGUUUUGGAAGAGGUUCGAUUAAUGCAACGCGGCAAUAGAGGAAGCGAACAAUUGUGUCCGAGCUCGGGACAUGCAGACCCUUCUCCAUUACGUGCCAAUCUAUCGCCACGUUAUCCCCCAUCGAGUUGAAAGACUUAGACAAGUCAGACUCCCUCCUUUGCGUAUUCAAGAACGGGUUGCUCGACGUCGUACAACCAGCUUGGAGGAGUUAAGCGAAGUACUUAGCAAGAGCGCUAGGAUAAUCCAAGUUCUUGCCUUAAACGACCAGGCUUCGACCUCGUUUGGCUCUCUAGCAGCUCGGGGGAAGUUGACGUUGGUGAGGAAGUAAACCAAGGCGAAGAUCCAUAUCCCGAGAUUGCUGCCCCUGCUCCAGUUCCUGCUGCUUCCCCCAUACUGGUGGAGAGUUCUAGUUCAGAAGUUGCGUGGCGCAUUGAUUUCCUUGGUCAGACUGCAAAUUAGGAUUAAUUGAGCAUUGCUUCGUGAGGUGUGGUCGUGGAAAGAGGGUUCAGAGGAAGGAAGUAGUAUACCAUGCUCCAAAGCCCAAAGACAUUAGUCCCAAAAAGGACAAGGCUGCUGCUCCAAAAUAAGUCCAGAUUCCCCCUCUAGUCUAGGAUCUAGUCCCAGCUCUCCUCGCUCCAUUUGCUCUUUUUGUCCUUCCUUUAGACCCGAGCUUGCCAUCCUCCCCUUUACUUAGGCAACACAAAGGGAAGGCGCUCAAUGUUGGGACUUCGAAGAAGUGAAAGCGAGGGGGGAAGGGAGGCUCGGAUGGUACCUUGUUGCCAUCCGAAGCUCCCGAAUUCUGGUCCCCGAAAUUUGUCGCUGCUGAGCUCGGGCGGAAGGUGACAACGACCGACAUAGCACACGAUCAUGACACUUGCAUGGCCUUAGUGCAGGCUAUCAUGCUUCCUCAGUAUGUGGCGGACCUAUCUGCGGAGGAUGAGAAAAUUGCUGCCGAUCUCCUUGUCAUGCAGCAUGUGUAGGUAAGCAGCUGAGUUGCCAUUCAUUCGUUUAUUUUUUGUAUCUCUUUAAGUUUUUAUUGCAUGUUUGCAUAGCCUUCAAAGGGUUAUGGCCAAUCGAGACCGCAUCUACAAACACUCGUCCGAGCUCAAAAAGGCCCUCAAAAGAAAGCCAACACUACGGAGAGCGAGUUGAAGAAGGUGAAGGCUGUUAUGGCUAACGUGAAGAAACGUGAAGCCAUUGACGAUUUGGCUUCAAAGUCUUUGAUCGAGGUUGAUGCUGCGAAGGCAAAAAUGAAUGUGACUCUACAGGAACUCGCCAAGCUCCAAAAGGUGGCUUCAACCCCGGUUUACCAACGAGUGUUUGAUCAAGGCUUCAACUGGACUGGAGAUUAUUACACAAGGUUGCGCCCAAAGAUCUAUCAAGGGGCUAGCUCGCCAGUCUGAAGGAGCUCAGUACUUCUACGGAGCAUCCUGCUUGGAAUGCAGCAGCACCCGAGGUGGAAGUCACAUACCCUCCUAAGCCAUACUCACCCAUCCUGCUGCUGGAUUUUAAUGAAGAUGAGUAUGCCAACCAGCCCGCAAAGGAUGGAACUAACGGGGAGGCGUAAGGGACUCCGAGGAAGCAAAUAAGCUCGGGGACAAAGUAGGGACGAACAGAGCUGGAGGUGAAGAUCAGGACAUCCCUCCCGAAGUGUAAUGUAUUUUUCUUCUUGGAGGGGGAUGGUCCUUUAAAGAGUUUUGAUAAUACAGUUUGCAAAUGUUUGUCUUUUGAACAGUCCUUUGUAAAUAUAUUUUGGAUGUAUGAAACAUUAAUUUUCUUUUCCUCAACUCGCUUUUUACCUUAAAUUCCGCCUUAGCUUAUUUCUACCUAUGUUUGAAUGCUUUAAGACUUAGGAGCUCGGUGCCAAGAUAGUUUGCCAAUGCCUUAGCGAAUGUCUGCUUCUCUACAUUGCUUUAUGCCUUGAUAGUCCUGAGCUCGGUGGUCAAGUAUCUCGGAGACCAAGUCGUAUCAUGCCUUAGCGAAUAUUUAGUUGUUUGCAUGCUUAUAGCAUUGAUGUGGUUGUUCUCCUGACUUGUCUCAGCACAAUUGAACAAACUCAUGCCUUAGUGAAAAUCUGUUGUUCUGCAUGUCUUUUGCUCUGAAUGCUUCUAAGCUCGGUACUCAGGUAGCUCGUCACUAAGUUAUGUGCAUGCCUUAGCGAAAUUUUGUUGUUCUGCAUGCAAUAGCGUAGGUGAUGCUUUUUUUUAGAAUUGUAUACUUUAGGACAUUUCAAGCUCGUGCUUAAGCGAGUUCAGAGGAAUAGCCUCACGCUUCAACAUAGGGACACCUCAAGCUCAUGCAUUGUGUAGGUUGGCGAUUAGUCACACUGUUGUAUGAAAUCUCAAGCUCAUGCUUGAGCAGCUUGGGGACAACUAGUCUCGCGCUAUUUUAAGACAUCUCAAGCUCAUGCUUAAGCAGGUCGGCAAUUAGUCAUGCUGCUUCAAGAUCUCAAGCUCAUGCUUGAGCAACUUGGUGACUUUAAGGCUUUGUAAUUCUCUGUUUUAUGCCAUUUUUCCUCGUGGAAUACACAUUUCCACCUCUGAUUACGUUUUCCAGGAUCUCCUCCCAUGGGUGGUGGCUUUCGAUAAUAUGGCUUAUCUCGGAUCCAGGUGAGCAGUUUAUGAAUAUGUUCUUUGAAAACCACGUUAACGCCCUGCCUCACCCGAUCUUCAUAGUUCGUCGUACUUUUCCAACGCUUUUUGAACUGACCAUCACCCCGGGACGAAGAUCCCGUAGCUCAUUCAGCUUGCCUGACAUACUCUUCCAGCCGAGCAAACAUCUCAACCCGCACCAUUAGGUCUAGAAGAUGGCCUGGAGGGUUGAGCGUUAGGUUUUCCUACAGCUUCUUGCCCGGGGUCAGCCUGAGCAUUUGCUAUAGUUGCAGUCCUUGCGGAGCGUUUCAUUCUUGCCUUUGUGAAGCGUUAGAAGAGAGCUUGCAUUCGUUCGGUGCCUUCAUGUUGAUGAUGAACCGAGCCACGAAUGACUUAGAAACUUGGUAGAAGCUCCUGAUGGACCCUCCGGGUAGCUUGUCAAACCAUUUCAACCUGAGAUCACCCAGGCUUGAUGGAAAUAUUUUGCACAUGAAUGCAUCGUGAUGGUUCCAAAGUGCCAUCAUUUGCCUGAAAUGGCAGAUGUGCGACCUCGUAUUUGACUUCUCGUCAUACAAUGUAAAUUUAGGGGGGUUAAACUUCUCCGGGGGAUCUAUUCCCUUAGUCUCGGGUGAGAAAAGGGUUUGGUACCUCAGGAGUUGUUCUGCUAGCAUGGAUUUGGCAGUCAUGGUUAUUGAUUUUUUUGGGAUGAUGGUUUUUGCGGGAAACGCCACUAUGGCAAGCAGCUUCGCCCGUAAAUCCUCAUCGUAGGUUUGUUAUCACUUCGACUCUCUGCUUCAAUGUGGGAUUCUACAUGAUUUUCCUUCCUGCCACCCCGAGGUAGGCCCUCUCAUCUUUUGGACUUCACCUCAGAUGACCCCUCACCAGCCUUUUGGGCUGGCAAUACUAAAUUGUUAGCCACCGUGAUAUGUGUUAGUUCGGCCAACUAGGCUUCCAGACGCCUUAUAGUGAUGUCUCGGUUGUCAUUUUCACCUUCAGGAUGCAACCGACUUGGCCUUUGCCUAGAGGGGCCCUUUACCUUCCUUUGAGCAUCGGCCAGUAGUUUGUGCCCCUCACGCUCAGGCUUAUGAGCACCGGAGGGUGCUCCUUUUGGGUUCCAUGACUACUUCCUCCGCCGGUGGUACUUUCAUAGGCAAAUGAUCGUAUCGUGCAGAUGUCUAUGGUCGACUUCCCACAGAUGGUGUCAAUUGUGGGGUUGUGAGUAUUAGAAUGGAGGAGAGGAUAUUGUAGAUACACCUGCGGUGGUAAAGCGACUAUUAGCGGUGGCUGCUGGAGACUGCUAGUUGGUGGUCCGAACUGUAACACAGGAAUAGUGAGAACGGCCAUCGGAGCUAUUUCAGGAACAGUCUUCCGACGGUCAAAUUAGAUGACCGAUGGAUACAAAGUGUAUGUAGUGAGAGAGAGAGAAUGUAGAAGCUUAGAGUAGCUAAAAUUGCAUAAUUUUGAGAGAAUAAGGGUUGGCCUUAUACAAUACAGUUCAGCGCUUGCUUGGACUCGCUGAUUGUUGUGUCGUGAAUAGGCGACUGACCCAGUCAUGCCUCUAGGGCAUGGCUGGUGUCUAGCCUGUCACGUUGCCAGCGUCAGAACCCGAAUGUGCAGGUGUCAGAGGAAGCUUUGCGGUGAAGUUAUCUUCUGAUCGCGUCAUGUUCUUGGAAUUCCUGCCGACCAUUUCUCCUUGACCGAGCUCUGGCGCAGGGACUUCGCCCGAGCUUGCUAAAUAGCGAAAGCUUGGUAGCGGUGCCUGCCCUAACUUGCCAGAGUUGGUACUUGAUGUUUUAUCCACUUACACAACUGUUUGCUCAUAAUCAUAGUGUUCACCAAGUUAACAGUUCAAUUGCCAACAGUACAACUAAAUAAUAUUCCUAAUGUACGAGACAAUAAAAAUUUCAAACAUAAUUGUAGAAAAAAAGUGACCAAAAUAUCAUACAAAAUCAUACACAAGAUCCUAGUUUAUCGUUGUCACAAGAAUUGUCCAUCAUCCAAAUUGAGCAUAUAACGCCCAUAGUUUUAACAACCCACCCCUACCUAUAGAGAACCACAACUUUGACUGAACAACCUAAACCUAACAUAGAGACGACAUCCAACUUUGACCUGAUAACACUAACAAACAAAGACCCAACUAAAACAAAGAGACUUUCGACCCCAUCAUUCAACACCACAAGCGAAGACGAGUUUAUUUUCAUUUUGAGAAUGAUGACAUAGAAAACCCAUGUAUCAUUUCCCACAAAAUUGGCGUCAUCAAUGUCCAUAACUAAUACAAGUGACAAAGCGCAAUUAGAACUUGGAGGGAUGACUCAUUAGACAUAGGUGAUAUCUUGAUUUAUAUUGUUUCAGAUGAUUAGCAAGUGAAGGAUCACUUCCUAGAUCAUCCCAUAACCUCUUAAGAGAGUGGUGAAAGAAAAAAAGUUGCCAUCCGGGAUGAAAGCUUCUAUUGACCAUAAAGAAAGACAAACCUCAUGAGAGUCCCAGGCAUCACGUCAAGUAGGACAAUGUGAAUCCACAUCAACGACACAGUGUAAGUAACAUUGGAUCAUUUCAUUUCCCCCCCCCAAAACCAAAAAAACCCAACUAUAUAAAAGGAACUCAAUUUGACUCUUGUCUCUGUGGAAAUAGGACCUACGCCACUGGGGCGCCCCCUGGGGCACUCCACCCAAAUAACCUUGGAUCUCCAUCACACUCAUUUUUUUCUCAUAUAAGACAGUAAAAGGUCUUUUGUAUGUGUGAACGUUGAAACAUAAAUGCUCGCAUGAACAGGAGACAAGAGUCACUGCUAGCACAACCAAGCCAGGCAUGGUCUUGAUCUGGUUACCACGAAACAAGAAAAUAACGACCGAGGCUAAUACUCAAGGUCAGACAAUAUAACUUAAUACGAAAAUUCUCGCCCUGUUUCUGGCCUGUAAAUAGUUCUAAAUUUUUCCUUGUGCUGGGGCCUGUAUAUAUGCUUCUACAAUAUUAUAUAUGGUCUGCGUUCAUUGAAGGCAUGGAAACUUAUAUUCCUCACCUGUGGUUUCUUAAAGAGAGGAAGAUUGUUCGGGUUGGUGCUCUUUGUUACCCUUUCCCCGACAGUAUGCCAUUCUCAUUCAAAUUGUAAAAGACCAUCACCAAGG